CGGUUUGGAAUGGUUGCGGCCCACGGCGGUCCGACGGUUGCAACCGUCUCCGGUUCUCCCGGUGCGCACUUGAGGGCUCGCAGGUGUUUCCUCCCUCGCCUGCAUGCUGCGUACCCGCCUCGCCCCGCUCCCCACUACCAGGUGAGCGGGGCUUUUU
rfam:Agrobacterium tumefaciens str. C58 circular chromosome, complete sequence.